UUUUAAGUGUGUAAAACCUUCCCAUUUCAUAACCAACCCCCUUACCUAGAUCUCUGACAUUUUUAUUAGUUUUUGAUUUGAUAAAACUUCUUAUUUGGUUUUUUUUUUCGCUUUUUAACCUUUUCUUUGGAUAAAUAAAAGUGCGGUGGCGACUCGAAUUGUAUGUUUACUUUUGGUUUAGUCAAUAAACCAUAAGGUAACG
rnacentral:lncRNA from 1 species